GCACAAGCGGUGGAUGAUGUGGAUUAAUUCGAUGCAACGCGAAAACCUUACCUACCCUUGACAUGUCCGGAAUCCCGAAGAGAUUUUGGGAGUGCUCGCAAGAGAACCGGAACACAGGUGCUGCAUGGCUGUCGUCAGCUCGUGUCGUGAGAUGUUGGGUUAAGUCCCGCAACGAGCGCAACCCUUGUCAUUAGUUGCCAUCAUUUGGUUGGGCACUCUAAUGAGACUGCCGGUGACAAACCGGAGGAAGGUGGGGAUGACGUCAAGUCCUCAUGGCCCUUAUGGGUAGGGCUUCACACGUCAUACAAUGGUCGGUACAGAGGGUUGCCAACCCGCGAGGGGGAGCUAAUCCCACAAAGCCGAUCGUAGUCCGGAUCGCAGUCUGCAACUCGACUGCGUGAAGUCGGAAUCGCUAGUAAUCGUGGAUCAGCAUGUCACGGUGAAUACGUUCCCGGGCCUU
rnacentral:rRNA from 1 species